UGAACGCUGGCGGCGUGCUUAACACAUGCAAGUCGAACGAUGAAGCUCAGCUUGCUGGGUGGAUUAGUGGCGAACGGGUGAGUAACACGUGAGUAACCUGCCCUUAACUCUGGGAUAAGCCUGGGAAACUAGGUCUAAUACCGGAUAGGAGCGCCUACCGCAUGGUGGGUGUUGGAAAGAUUUAUCGGUUUUGGAUGGACUCGCGGCCUAUCAGCUUGUUGGUGAGGUAAUGGCUCACCAAGGCGACGACGGGUAGCCGGCCUGAGAGGGUGACCGGCCACACUGGGACUGAGACACGGCCCAGACUCCUACGGGAGGCAGCAGUGGGGAAUAUUGCACAAUGGGCGAAAGCCUGAUGCAGCGACGCCGCGUGAGGGAUGACGGCCUUCGGGUUGUAAACCUCUUUCAGUAGGGAAGAAGCGAAAGUGACGGUACCUGCAGAAGAAGCACCGGCUAACUACGUG
rnacentral:rRNA from 1 species